rnacentral:rRNA from 1 species
GACGAACGCUGGCGGCGUGCUUAACACAUGCAAGUCGAACGGAAAGGCCCUGCUUUUGUGGGGUGCUCGAGUGGCGAACGGGUGAGUAACACGUGAGUAACCUGCCCUUGACUUUGGGAUAACUUCAGGAAACUGGGGCUAAUACCGGAUAGGAGCUCCUGCUGCAUGGUGGGGGUUGGAAAGUUUCGGCGGUUGGGGAUGGACUCGCGGCUUAUCAGCUUGUUGGUGGGGUAGUGGCUUACCAAGGCUUUGACGGGUAGCCGGCCUGAGAGGGUGACCGGCCACAUUGGGACUGAGAUACGGCCCAGACUCCUACGGGAGGCAGCAGUGGGGAAUAUUGCACAGUGGGCGGAAGCCUGAUGCAGCAACGCCGCGUGCGGGAUGACGGCCUUCGGGUUGUAAACCGCUGUCGCCUGUGACGAAGCGUGAGUGACGGUAAUGGGUAAAGAAGCACCGGCUAACUACGUG